UGGGGAAUAUUGGACAAUGGGCGAAAGCCUGAUCCAGCCAUGCCGCGUGUGUGAAGAAGGUCUUCGGAUUGUAAAGCACUUUAAGUUGGGAGGAAGGGCAGUAAGCGAAUACCUUGCUGUUUUGACGUUACCGACAGAAUAAGCACCGGCUAACUCUGUGCCAGCAGCCGCGGUAAUACAGAGGGUGCAAGCGUUAAUCGGAAUUACUGGGCGUAAAGCGCGCGUAGGUGGUUCGUUAAGUUGAAUGUGAAAGCCCCGGGCUCAACCUGGGAAAUGCAUCCAAAACUGGCGAGCUAGAGUAGGGCAGAGGGUGGUGGAAUUUCCUGUGUAGCGGUGAAAUGCGUAGAUAUAGGAAGGAAAACCAGUGGCGAAGGCGACCACCUGGGCACAUACUGACACUGAGGUGCGAAAGCGUGGGGAGCAAACAGG
rnacentral:rRNA from 1 species